GUAUGGUAUGGCACCCAUCUUGUAUAUCAGCCCCCCCUCCCUUCACCUGGAGCUGGAUCCGCCACUGUGUGAGAGGAACGUUGGCCAAGCCUCUAACGUUGACCAAGCCUAUAGUUGUGGAGGUUCUUGGUCUUGGCUUUCCCGUACGUCCGUUUUGGUUCUCUGUUUCGUGUUCGUAGAUGUUGAAGUAGAAACUGUGUUGUAGUGAUUGAUUUUGACGGUGGAUUUGACACGACCAAGGAGGAAUGAACUAAUUAUAUGCCUGAUCGAGAAUGUCUGUCUAAUGAACUUCUUCCAAACCUGUCGAUCUGAACUUUACCACAGCGACUGUUACUUGAUUAUCUCUGUCGCACACACACACACACACACACACACACACACACACACACACACACACACACACACACACACACACACACACACACACACACACACACACACACACACACACACACACACAUAUGCCUGCCUUCCUUUCUUCCUGUUCUGUCCUUUCCCUUCCUUCCUUCCUAACUCUGUCCAUUCUUUGUUCGCUCUUCCUCCUCCUCCUCCUCCUCCUCCUCUUCCUCAACCCAAACCAAACCAAACAACAAAACGAGGGUGUGUUUGACGUUGUAUCCAUUCCCGGCACAGCGAAAGACCUAGAGAAAAUAUUUAUGCGCCCAGUGAAAGUAACCAGAGCGGGAGGAACAAAGAGGAGAAAAAAAGUUUGGAUUUUUUCGACCGUGUUAGAAAAGGAAGAAGAAGAAGAAGAAGAGAAGGAGAAGAAGAAGAAGAAGAAGAAAAAGAAAAAGAAGAAGAAGAAGAAGACGAAGAAGAAGAAGAUUUACAUAGAUUUACAUAGAAAAUCAGAAAGUUGAAAAAGAAGGAGGAGAAGAAGAAGAAGAAGAAGAAGAAGAAGAAGAAGAAGAAGAAGAAGAAGAAGAAGAAGAAGAAGAAGAAGAAGAAGAAGAAGAAGAAGAAGAAGAAGAAGAAGAACAAGAACAAGAACAAGAAGAACAAGAACAACAACAACAACAACAACAACAACAACAACAACAACAACAACAACAACAACAACAACAAGGAGAUGAAGAAGAGAUUAGACGAGGAGAAGACGAUGAUGAGGAAGAUGAUGAAGAUGAAGAGGGAAGGAAAAUAAAGGGAAAAAGUGAACUAGAAAAAAAAUAAUAAAAAGAAGGAUAUAUUUUUUUCUUCAAUAUUGCGCAAACACAUUUUUUUAAGGUCUAUUUCUUCCCUCCUCCUCCUCCUCCUCCUCCUCCUUAUCCUUAGUCAGAAGAGAAGGGGAAAACCAAGAGGAGGAGGAGGAGGAGGAGGAGGAGGAGGAGGAGGCGUAGCUAAGCGAGACAUGAAAAAAAAAAAAAACUUGAAAAUACGCGGAAAAAAGUUGCAAGGGACAUUCUCUCUCUCUCUCUCUCUCUCUCUCUCUCUCUCUCUCUCUCUCUCUCUCUCUCAUAUUUUGACCCCAAUUUAAGUCAUUCCAGCAUUGAUAUUAAGCUAAGUCGGUCAUCGUCAUCCUAAGUCAACCUAGGUCAUCCCUAAUUGAAGUAAGUCAUCAGUAAGUUAGUCUAAGUUGUUGGCAUUGUAAGUAAAUAUAUGUAAAUCAGUUUGAGUCAUCGUCCCUCUUAAGUCAUCGUCUGUAAGUCAAUAGUCAUCCCAAAGUUGUAGCCAUUCUCAUUUAUCGUUCUUGUAAGUUAUUGUCGGUAAGUUAGUCAGUCAUCAGUCAUCAGUAAGUCAUUCUCAGUUAUCGUUCUUGUAAGUUAUUGUCGGUAAGUUAGUCAGUCAUCAGUCAUCAGUAAGUCAUUCUCAGUUAUCGUUCUUGUAAGUUAUUAUAUGUAAGUCAUUUAGUCGGUCAUCAGUAAGUCAUCCUCAUUCAUCAUCCCUUGUAAGUUAACGUAUCGUAUGUUAGUUAGUCAUCAGUAAGUCAUUUUAAGAUAUCGUAGGUAAGUCAUCCUCAGUUAUCAUCCCUUGUAAGUUAUCGUAUGUAAGUCAAUUAGUCAUAAGUAAGUCAUUUUAAGAUAUCGUUUAUGUUAGUCUUCGUAGGUAAGUCAAUCAUCAAUAAGUCAUUCUCAGUUAUCGUCCUUGUAAGUCCUCCUAAGUCAGUCAUCAUUCAUCCCUGUCAUUCAAGAUUACUUUCCUUUGUUAUUCUUCGUAUGUAAGUCAUCAGUCAUCCUUAACCCAUUAUCUUGUCAGUCAUCGUAAGUAGUUUAUCAGUAAGCCACUCUCCAUAUCAGUCAUCACUAAGUCAUUUUAAGUUAUCGUCCCUUUGUUAGUCAUCGUAAUUAAGUCAGUCAUCAGUCAUCCUUAGCCCAUUAUCUUGUCAGUCACCGUAAGUAGUUUAUCUGUAAGUCACUCUCCAUAUCAGUCAUCACUAAGUCAUUUUAAGUUAUCGUCCAUUUGUUAGUCAUCGUAAGUAGGUCAGUCAUCAGUCAUCCUUAACUCAUUCUCUUGUUAGUCAUCGUAAGUAGUUUAUCUGUAAGUCACUCUCCAUAUCAGUCAU